rnacentral:tRNA from 1 species
GCGCCCUUAGUUCAACUGGAUAGAGCGGCGACCUCCUAUGUCGAGAGUACAGGUUCGAGUCCUGUAGGGCGUGCCA